rnacentral:rRNA from 1 species
GUGGGGAAUAUUGCACAAUGGGCGCAAGCCUGAUGCAGCAACGCCGCGUGAGGGAUGACGGCCUUCGGGUUGUAAACCUCUUUUAGUAGGGAAGAAGCGAAAGUGACGGUACCUGCAGAAAAAGCACCGGCUAACUACGUGCCAGCAGCCGCGGUAAUACGUAGGGUGCAAGCGUUGUCCGGAAUUAUUGGGCGUAAAGAGCUCGUAGGCGGCUUGUCGCGUCUGCUGUGAAAACCCGAGGCUCAACCUCGGGCCUGCAGUGGGUACGGGCAAGCUAGAGUGCGGUAGGGGAGAUUGGAAUUCCUGGUGUAGCGGUGGAAUGCGCAGAUAUCAGGAGGAACACCGAUGGCGAAGGCAGAUCUCUGGGCCGUAACUGACGCUCAUGCACGAAAGCGUGGGGAGCAAACAGGAUUAGAAACCCGAGUAGUCC